AUUGAACGCUGGCGGCAGGCCUAACACAUGCAAGUCGAGCGAGCGGCGGACGGGUGAGUAAUGUAUUGGGAUCUGCCCAAUCUAGGGGGCUAACUACUGGAAACGUUGGCUACUGCCGCCUACUAUCCGAUGAGCCCAUAUGGGAUUAGCUAGUAGGUGGGGUAAAGGCUCACCUAGGCGACGAUCUCUAGCUGGCCUGAGAGGAUGAUCAGCCACACUGGGACUGAGACACGGCCCAGACUCCUACGGGAGGCAGCAGUGGGGAAUAUUGCACAAUGGGCGAAAGCCUGAUGGAGCCAUGCCGCGUGGAUGAAGAAGGCCUUAGGGUUGUAAAGUACUUUUAGCGGGGAGGCGUUACCCGAAGAAGAAGCACCGGCUAACUCCGUGCCAGCAGCCGCGGUAAUUC
rnacentral:rRNA from 1 species